UGCUGCCGCCGCCGCCGCUCUUCUGUAUCGGUCAGGGUUUCGAAAUACGCCCUCCCCGGAUCGGGUCGGAAGCGUUCAAAGCUCGGCGUGACAAACUCACGUGACCGUCUGCCGAGGACCGACGUCGAAGGGCCCUGUGAUACUCUCAUUCCUCGUCAUGUACGGAGACAGCCUCCGAAAGGGUUCUCAGCAGUACACAAUUCCUUGGCGGCGGCGUCUCCAUGCGCAGUGCAGCAACAGGAGCGAUUUGAGAGGACACACCUACAUCCGCGCUGCUGAAGUACAUAGUUGGUGAUAGGGCUGAUCGCUUUUCCACAUGAGCAGGAUUUACAUAAACGACGCUCCACACUGAGACAAGGGAUCGACAGGUAACAAAAUGGAUAUAGGACUCUACUACCUGUGAGGUUGCAGCGGACGCUCAAAGUCAGAAGGCAGCGAGCCGGAAUAUCCUGAAAAACCAACUUCUGCCGUCCAGCUCUCGACCAGCAGGCGAUGGAGAACACGCGGUAUGAAGACCCUGCAAGACUGGAGAACCUGCACAACGCGUCAAGUGACGGGUUUGCAAGGAUCGAGGCCCAUGCCCUGGAAGGGGAACACAGGUGGAAGUGGCUUUUCGUCCCGCUUGUAAUCGUCGUAAUCGGAAUUGCCGGUUCGGCUUGGAUCCCAUAUGGUACACGUAUGAAGGAACUGGGCGAAGCUACUGGCGAACUGGGAUGGACUCGCAGAGAACUACAAUUGGCUUCUGCCAAACUAGAAGAGACUAGUAGCAAACUACAGCAGCAAGGGAUUGAACUGGAGGAGACACGUAACGAACUCAAGCGCACUAAUGACAAGCUAGAGCGAGCUACUAUUGAACUGAAGGAGACUACUGGUGAACUGCAGCACACACGUAUAGCACUCAAGUUCACCGCUACAGAACUGGAAAAGACCCGUGGCGAACUGCAGCGGACUACUGAUGAACUGCGUCAGGCUACUGGAGAUAUGACGCGGCACGCUGGCAGACAGGAGCAGAAAAGUGACGAACUGCAGCACGAUAUUAGCCUGCUAUCUAAACACAUUAGUAACUUUCCCUAUAUCAUGAUAAUAAGCGUCCUAUUGUGGGCACUAUUCAUGGUCGGGUGUAGAAGGGGGAAAGAUUAGCGAUGCACUGACGCUCUUCAAAUGCUGCUUAUUACGGAAAAUUGAGUUUUCUGUUUUGAAGUGGUCAGUCAACUGAUUCGAAAUUUCACCAAUCGUCAAAGAUGCGAGAAACUUCGCUGAGUUUUACAAAUCGACGCAGUGUCUUUUUUUUUUUUCGUUUUGCUUUCUAGAAUACAUUUGGAAUUAUUAGGAAUAAUGUUUUUGAUCAUUGCUUGCUGUUACUUUGUUGCUAUUCCUUCCUUGCCAAAAUAGCACUAUACAGGGUGGUCUGCGAACCAUUACAGAAAUUCAUAGUAAAAAACCUAGGCCACGGAGAGACACGCGGUCAAGGGACUUUUUCUGCCAAUAACUUUUGCCACAUAUUGGUGACAUUUUUAUUUCAUUUCAAUUUGCGAAAAGUUAAUUUCUUGAACUACUAAAUUUCCCAAGGCAACCUAACGUUUUCAUUGCGGCAAUGGGUCCCCCUGGUCAUUCUGCUCAGUAUAGCACAUAAUCCCACUCGUAAUGCAAUGGCAAAUGCCGAAAUGAAUUCGCCGAAAAUACGCGGAAAUGAGCCCUUGGCUCUGCCUCUUUUUUGACGGCUCGUGGUUUGAGCGCAAAGCUGCGAAGAAAGGAGGUUACAUUGACAUGCCACACGAGGGGGAAAGGGUCACAAGCCUUACCCACGGAACAAACACGCGCGGUGAGUGCCGGAAUCAGAUCUAUCUUAUCACAAAUGAGAUCACCCGACGGCUUGUAACCCUUUCCCCCCUCGUGUGGCGUGUCAAUGUAACCUCCUUUCUUCGCAGCUUCGCGCUCAAACUGUGAGCCGUCAAAAAAGAGGCGGAGCCAAGGGCUUAUUUCCACGGAUUUUCGGCGAAUUUAUUUCGGAAAUUGCCAUUGCAUUAGGUGUGGGAUUAUGUGCUAUACUGAGUAAAAUGACAACGGGGAACCCAUUCCCGCAAAGAAAACGUGAGGUUGCCUUGGGAGAUUUCGGAGUUCAAUUCUAUUCAAGACGGAAAGAAAUCCUUUCCGUCAAUUGAAAUGGAAUAAAAAUGUUACCAAUAUGUGGCAAAAGUUAUUGGCAGAAAAAAAUCCCUUGACCGCAUGUCUCUCCGGGGCCUACGUUAUUUACUAUGAAUUUCUAUCAUGGUUGAUGGACCACCCCUGUAGUCGUAUAUGCUUUGGUGCUCCAUGUUUCAGAAAUACUGUCCACUUAAUGUACUCACACGUGUUUGUGUCUUAUUUUAUUCUCACGUAUAGUGUGUUUUCUAUGGCUCUUUACCUUUGCACGAUAUACGGAAGACCCUUUGACCGGGAAAUCUUCCCUCUGGGUCCUCCAUUGUCUCCUGAGUCCUGGGUGCUCGAUUGUGUGAUUUGAGUCAUGCACUUAAUCUGGUAUUUUUCCAAUAAAAAUGCAUAUAAUUCAGUUCACUUCAAUCCUAAGAUUUCCAAUAACAUCUGGCUUUAUCUGUUAGUCGCCCUAUGGACCGAAAGCAACUACGUGUUACAAAAUAAAAUAAUCAUGCAUUUGACGUGCGUUUAUCACGUGCAGCAGGGUUCUUUCUUUGUAAUAAUAAUAAUAAUAAUAAUAAUAAUAAUAGUGCAUUUCAUGUAGGGUGUUUGUAUACGGCAAUAUAUCUUAAUCGCAAGGCACUUUCUGUGCGCUGCCUUUUGGGCCAUGGUAUUAUGUUCUGUUACAAGAUCACACAUAGUAUUGUGGCUAGAUCUCCCCUAUUAGGGCAAUGGCAUUGUGAUUCCCACCAAUGUCAUCGGGCACACCAAUAUUUUGUAUACUUUCCACAGCACACCACUUAACCCCGUCUCACGAAUUCAGCGAGCCACAACUGCCCUCCAUUCCCAUGUCGAUCUCUUUGACUCCCGUACCAGUUCCAUGAGGGUAUUUCGAGGGAAUUCAGUGGACGCCACUUGGCACAGUCCAUUUACGUAAAAGUACACAUACAAACGCGCAGUCGUACCAUUCUGUAUUACUUUUUCUUUGUUACUUUUUUCAACACUGCUGGAAAGCAAUUUUAUUUGGCGCGGCAUAUCCUCUGCUGAUGAUUGAUUGAUUGAUUGAAAGACAUAUCCUCUGCUCUUUUGUUUUUAUGUAUGACUUUCAUUCACGUGUGGCUCUGCUUCGUGUGUAUGUCCUACAUGUUUGACUGCUGCAGUGCGGUAGAUGGGUAGCCUGUUGAUACAGUGGGAAGACAUGAUAAGAUGUAUGCAUAGUGGAGACAGAUGUAUGCAUCAGCAGCCCGUGGAUCAGUCUACUGCCAGCAAAGAUAGUGUAUCUGAAAGAGCAUGCGAUAGGAACGGUACCUGGUGUGUAGGUGUUACCCUAGCGAAAAUGUUGGCAGAGGCCACCAAGAUGUUUCAAUAGAUCAGUUCAUCCGUAGCGUGCAGCCAACUGUCCUGUCUUCUUUACUUUGUCCGUGUCCCAUGUGCGCUCUUAUUAAGUAUGUCUUCCCAAUGUUUGACUGCAACACUAUGUGCAUGCACAUGUUUUUUUAUGUAUUUAUCUUCGCGUGCCAACACUAAGGCCCCGUGCAGUGCUUUGGCACGUAAAGAGAUGUUAUUAUUAAAGAUUAUUAUUAUCAUUGUUAUUAUCAUCGAAACAACUGCUCCGAGAGAAGCGCCACUACUGCUCAGCAUAGCGCCACAACACAUAUUGGAUUCUUCGUAUAUUUGUUAUUUCUGUUUCUGACCUGUUUGAUUAUCAGGAACGGAUAGCACGCGCUCAGAGUGUUCCGUGUAACACCGCCCCCUCUUUUCGAAAUAGAUAAAAGUGGCGAACUUGUGCGACUGGUAUAGUACAAAGAGCAAGCUGUCACUCUGGCCGACCCGUCGACGGUUCACGGUGUGUCUUGUUGCAUUUGGAUGGCUGGUCAUCAAUCGCUUGUGGAAGAAAGAUAGAACGGGAUAAAAGAUCCAUUGGGAAAGAACAUCCAACGGGGUCGGGUGCCUGAGGGAAAAGAUCCAAAGUAAAAACAGAUCCAAACUUGAAAGAAGAUCCAGGCGAGUAUCACUCUGCUGUUCCAAGAGGGCAUGAUACCGUUAUGCAAUGGAUCCCAGCUCACGUAGGCAUUCCCGGAAAUGAAGCUGCCGAUGCUUUGGCUGUAAUGACACACCUGAAAACGAGCAAGACCCUUGUAUAUUUCACGGCGUCGGACGCCGAGAGAAUGCUUCGUGAAAUACUUCACGACGUCUGCUUACGUACAUGAUUUGUUGAUGUGGAGCCCAGCUUGCUAGCCAGAGUCGACUCGAAUUUACGCUUCUGCCUUCCGAGUCGCACACCGCGUGCCAUCGAAUCAUUUGUGUACCGCCUUCGACUAGACCUCCCUUUCAGCGGUACCCUGUUGUUCAAGAUGGGGAAGGUAAACUCGCCGAACUGCCUCACGUGUGAUGAGGUGGAGAACACUGAACAUAUAUUAAUCAACUGCUCCAGAUACAGUGUCCAACGUAAUGCCUUUAGAGCUGUGAGGUAUCUGGCAUUCGAGCCCAGCCGUUGACUUAUCUUCACACCGCGCCUUCGCACGGCGAGUUCAAGGCUUUCGCGUCUAAUAUUCCCACCCUAGUUUAUCUUUCCUGGCGGGCUUUGUCAAGAGGCAGUCCGCUCUUGGUACUCGUACAAUAAACAGCUCUCUGAUAGCGGCAGCUCGGCUCGUGCUCUGGUUCCUCUACGGAGUGUAAAGCACAACAUGGUGUCAGAAGUGGGAUCCACGGGUCUAUUCUUCGUAUAGCGUGGAUCUCUACAACUGUCCAAACUCCAAACCCUUAAACGUGAAGUAUGGCAACGCCCGUGACGACGACGUCGUACAAGAUAGCACCUCCAGACUCGUUCUCCUUCAAACACAACGAGUGGCCGGCAUGGAAGCGAAGAUUUCUUCGAUUUCUGUCACCUUCCGGAUUGCAAGGACAGAAAGAGACCAACUUGGUGGACACGCUCGUCUAUGUGAUGGGACAACUUCCUUCAAACGUUCCGAACGAGCCGAAGACAUCCUUCAAACGUUCAAGCUCAAAGCCGAGGAAUCAACCAACAUCACAAAGGUACUGGAAAAAUUCGAAGAGUAUUUCGUACCUAGACGAAACAUGAUUUACGAGCGAGCCCUGUUCAACACUCGAGUCCAAAAGGAAGCCGAAUCCGUGGAAGAUUUUGUAACUGCUCUCCACGUCUUAUCGUAAACUUGCGACUAUGGCGAGUUAAAAGAGGAUCUGAUCCGAGAUCGUCUGGUAGUAGGCGUCCUCGAUCGCAAGCUGUCAGAGAAGCUGCAGCUGGAUCCGGACCUCAACCUCCACAAAGCGUUGGUCACAGCCCGGCAGCAUGAAGCGGUCCGAAAGCAGCAGGCUCACCUUCGACCGGGUCCCGAAAAAGACGGCAACAUCGAUCGCAUUAUUAGACAUUCAGGGGGUAACAGGUAAACCACGAAGAAACACCACCAAAAAUCUUCAGAGAGCUCAGAGAACUCCAGAAGCAAGACAUGUCGUUGGUGCGACAGGGAUCCACAUCCGAGACAGCAGUGCCCUGUAAAAAAUGCGAUCUGCAACAAGUGCAAAAAGAAAGGGCAUUUCGCACUCGUGUGCAAAUCCUCCUCAACAGUGCACGCAAUUGAAGCACAGCAGGACGUUGGCUUCGUAGGCAUCGCUGGAGGAAAUGGCAGCACAAGAUGGGAUAUAUCAGUGCUCCUAAACGGUGGGCCACACCUUUUCAAAAUAGACACGGGAGCAGAUGAAACCGUUAUAUCUUAUGAAACGUUCUGCCAGCACCGUAAGCCAGGCAUCACGCUUACAAAGACAGCUUCGCGGUACCGACGGCAAACUAGUGAUGGGCAAGUCAGUUCAUUUUUGUGAACUAAUUCAUUUAGUUCAGUUCACUCCACUGAACUGUCUAAAAGAAUAGUUCAUUCGUUCACCUGUUCGCAAUUAAACACAAUCAAAGUAAUAUAGUCCCAAACUUUAAAGUGGCUCGACCAAGAGAGAUACAACAAAAUGAUCUUGCAAUUCAGUUUUCCAAAGGUUCGAGAACAUCAACAUAGCAAACGUAAUCUUUUAGGUCGCUUUUUUUAUUUUGCUUUAAAUUUCUACGUAUAUUUUUAACGAGAAAAGUAUUGCACAGAUCAAUAUGCAAGGUGCCGUCGUCGUUCAAUGUUACAAUCGUGUAUUUCUGAUCACUUACGUCUGCUUGCUGCGAACUUGAGAACACAGAAGUGUGAUAGAGUAACCGCAGUUUCAACUCAUUUCAUUCAAAUGCAUGAGAGAGCUUGAAGAAAAGUACAACGUCUAGCGUUGUGGAGGAAAAAUUGGGAAGCUUGCAGUGUAUUGCCGCAAAAAUAGCGUGCCCGCUCCAGGGUGUGCCAGUCACACAAGCAGUCAGCCAGAAGUCAGAACAUAACGGCGCCACUAGCAGUCCACAAUUGCGAGAAGGAGCUCAGAGCGAUCUCAGCGCAAUCAGUUCUAAAUGAUUUACUCUUGUUCAGCGUUCGCCGUUCAUAUAGUUCACUUGCCCACAGUACUUCAAUCCAUACGGCGUUCAAAGCCGCUCUGCUGGCUCUCCCUCCCCGCGCUUUUCCUUAAGCGCAUGCGCCGUGGACGAGUAACAGUUCUGACAGGCGCUGCGAGUACUUCCAAACGACCCGCGGCAUCGUUUAGUUCUUUAGUUCAUCCAGUUCUCUUCCUUCACACCUUCACACAGUCCACUCGAAGCUCUCCCUCCCCGCGCUUUUUCUUAAGCGCAUGCGCUGUGGACUAGCACCUUCUCUGACGGCCAACGGCAGACCCUGCGAGUGCUUCAAAACGUCCCGCGGCAUCGUUUAGUUCUUUAGUUCAUCCAGUUCUCUUCCUUCAAACCUUAACUAAGUCCACUUGAGGCUCUGCCUCGCCGCACCGCCCGCGCUCUUCCGUAAGCGCAUGCGCUGUGGACGAGCAGCAGUUCUGACAGGCAACGGCAGGCUCUGCGAGUCCUUCGAAACGACUCGCGAGUCGCGACGUCGUUUAGUUCUUUAGUUCAUCCAGUUCUCUUCCUUCACACAGUCCACUUCAGCGCAGCGUCACAGCCACUCAAGGCCACAGCGUAUGCGCCGUGGUCUCCCGUCCUUCUUCUUGCGCGCAUGUGCUUUGUUAGCUUUACAAAACGUUCGUUAAAUGGCGCAGAUGUCACACUUGGAAGCGUAUCAAAGCGUAUGCGUUGUGGGUGUCGAGGCCCAAUGAACUGAAUUGAGGAACUAAUGUUUUGGUUGUUGUUGAACUAGUUCGUUCAGUUCACCCGAAUGAGUUCAGUUUGAAGGGUUCGUCCACGAACGACACGUCACUACUGCAAACCACUCCAAAUCCAAGGAACGAUCGAUUGUGAGGCAAAAGUUAAAAAGGCUAAGGCUAAGGCAAAGGAUAAGUGGCAAAAAGGCAAAACAAGUGAUCUAUGUGGUGAAGGGACUUAAGAAGUCGUUACUUGGCAAACCACUAAUAGAAAAGUUUUGUUUGUUCACACAAGUGAACAACGUGGCUUCUACCCCUCGUGUCGAGGGUACCGAGACAGUCCACCUCUGCAAUCCGCGUAAGGACUUCCCUCAGUUCUUCAAAGGACUCGGUAACCUCAAGGAGGAAUGUACUCUUGUUCUCAAACAAGAUGCAAAACCGUAUGCUGCCGUUUCUCCGCGCCGCGUGCCGCUCCCUGUCUUCAAAAAGGCACGGGAAGAAUUAGAACGCAUGCAGAAACUUGGAGUUAUCUCACCAGUACAUGAGGCAACAGAAUGGUGUGCUCUAAUGGUGGUGGUCCCGAAACCGUCAGGAAACAUCCGUAUCUGCGUUGAUUUAUCAGAACUCAAUCAACAUGUGCACCGCGAAUGGCACCCCAUACGCUCAGUUUAGCAGACACUAUAGGACAGCUUUCAGGUGCAAACAUAUUCCCGCGGCUGGAUGCUAACUCUGGCUUUUGGCAAAUUCCUCUUAAUGAGAAUAGCCGACUGCUUACUACAUACAUCACACCGUUCGGGAGAUUUUGCUUCAAUCGCUUCCCAUUCGGCAUCAGUUCGGGGACAGAACACUUCCAGAAGAGAAUGGCGAGGAUCUUAGAAGGCCUCGAAGGGGUACUCUGCCAUAUGGAUGACGUCCUUAUCUACGGUUGUACAGAAGAGGAACAUUCCCAGCGACUGAGGAAAGUGCUACAACGAUUAGCCGACGCACAACGUACCCUGAAUUCCGAAAAGUGUGUUUUUGGAACUUCCAGCAUCACUUUCCUAGAACAUAGGAUAGACGACAAUGGCAUUCGACCGGAUAAUAGCAUCCUCAAGUCAGUACAGGAGAUGCCACCGCCAUCAAACAAGUGCGAACUCCGACGUGUACUUGGUGAAGGACUGCAACAUGUGCGCGCAACACCGCAUCAACAGGAAAAGGCCGCUAAUGCCUACAUCAUUUCCACAACGUCCGUGGGAAAAGCUAGCAAUGAAUUUGUUUUGCCUAAACGGACAAUGGUGGUUAAUUGUCACCGACUACUACUCGCGCUACCCUCAAAAUCGCGCGAUUAUCGAGUCUAUCGGCCGCAACGGUUGUGAACCACUGCAAGUCCAUUUUUGCACGACUUGGCAUACCGAACGAAAUAAUAUCGGAUAACGGACCCACAGUUCGCCGGUACAGAAUCAUCAAAAUUUCGUAAAUUCCCAGAGGAAUUGAAGUUCAAACACACCACUUCCAGGCCGAGAUAUCCCCAAAGCAACGGCAUGGCAGAGGCAGCUGUAAAGAUUAUCAAGGGAUCUAUGAAGAAAACGGGGGAUCCGUACGAAACGCUUCUUUCCUAUCGGUCAGCACCGCUCAAGAAUGGCUACAGCCCAGUCGAACUACUGAUGGGUAGACGAUUGCGAACUACACUUCCCGUAGCGGAAGAAAUGCUGCUACCCAAGAAGGUAGACCACGAGGCCGUAAAGUAGUGCGAAGAGCUACUGAAAAAGAGACAGAAACAACAGUUCGAUAGACACUACGGCGUUCGACCUCUCUCUGAUCUUGAUGGGGGUCAAGAUGUAUGGGUCAUCGAUGUACAAAGAAGAGGAUGCGUGAAAGGCUCAGCCUCAACACCACGUUCCUAUCUUGUGGAAACGGAGAGGGGAAAUCUUCGCCGCCAUCGGUCGCAUCUCAUCCUGCUGUCACAGAGUUCACGUGAUGACCAGAUGGCCGAAACUAUAGACCUCGCAGAUGCACAAAUGCAUGAAAGAAGUAGCACUUGUGAGGAUAUGUCUCACAUGCAUACCAGAAGUGGACUCUGCAUUACGUCAAAGGCUUUUCCUGAGUCAGAGACUUCAAAAAGAGGGGAAAUGUGAGAUAUCUGGCAUUCGAGCACAGCCGUUGACUCAUCUUUACACUGCGUCUUCUCACGGCGUGUUCAAGACUUUCGCGUCUCGUAUUCCCACCCUUGUUUAUCUUUCCUGGCGGGUUUUGUCUAGAGGCAGUCCGCACUUGGUACUCGUACAAUAAACAGCUCUCUUAUAGCGGCAGCUCGGCUCGUGCUCUGGUUCCUCUACGGAGUGUAACGCACAACAAGAGCCGCCUUGGAAAGACUGGAUCGCCAUCCUCUAGACUUAGGGAUGCUCCUCAGGGAAUGGCCGAGGGACCUAAGACAGCUGCUUUAAUGACAUUUCUUGUGGACAUUGCAGCGCCUCUAACUGUUUAGACUGACUCUUUUUUUUUGUCUCCAAGUGUUUUGGAGUAGCCGGCUCCUGUGUUUUCUAGGAGCCUCCAUCUCUAUAGUUUUCUUUUUAAUUCCAACUCCAUCCACGCGACAACAAUGUCCAUGAGGAAGAAAAUGUACAAAGGAGGAUGUGUGUGCAUGUGUACGCUCGCAGAAAAGGAUGACUAUCAUGUCAUACUAUGCCGCUGGAGGAUGGAGGAUGGAGUCGAGGAACAUGACGGCGUCUCGAUGUCUUGGAGGAGUGCGGUAAUUUCCAGCGCGAACAGCUCCAGCACAGGUUGAAGUUUGUGAAGCUGUAAGUGAGUGUCCCUCGUAGGUAACGGAUGCGCCACAGUCUAUACAGUCGAUUCAGCCCACCGAGUUCAUGAAAAUGAAAACGAUCCCGGGUAUGCUUGUAGGCACAUUAGCGUGCGUGUGCUACUUUUAAUUUGUGGUCGAUUCACUGUAGUUUUCAUCUUACAUGUUCUUUUAAGACUCAGAAAGUCUCUUUUAGCAAGCUUGGAAUCAUUUAUCGUCUAAUGCGCUACAGUGUGCUUCGACAGCGGAACUUCUACUUGGUCGGUGAGUUCCAGAGGUUGGAAAACACGAAGGCACAAUGAAAUCGGUAGCCGUUCAUAAGGCGACAAGGGACCGGAGGAUACAGUUGUGUCGCUAGCAGGGAAGACACGAGCUAAUUAUACUGCUGCAACGUCCAAGUGCCUACGUGUACAGAUAAGCAGAGGACCCAGCACAACCGCAAGCCAAUAGUCCAGAAGAUAAGCACGAGGGCUAUAGCAAGUUCAAGUCAACACCUAUGCCUUAUGUAUUUUGGGUAAUAAAGUGAUUCUAUUCCCCA